rnacentral:rRNA from 1 species
UACGGAGGGGGCUAGCGUUGUUCGGAAUUACUGGGCGUAAAGCGCACGUAGGCGGCUUUGUAAGUUAGAGGUGAAAGCCUGGAGCUCAACUCCAGAACUGCCUUUAAAACUGCAUCGCUUGAAUCCAGGAGAGGUGAGUGGAAUUCCGAGUGUAGAGGUGAAAUUCGUAGAUAUUCGGAAGAACACCAGUGGCGAAGGCGGUUACCUGGAGCUUUGCUGACGCUGAUGCGCGAAAG